rnacentral:rRNA from 1 species
AUACGUAGGUGACAAGCGUUAUCCGGAUUUACUGGGCGUAAAGGGCGUGUAGGCGGUCUUGCAAGUCAGAAGUGAAAUUCCUGAGCUCAACUCGGGCGCUGCUUCUGAAACUGCAGGACUUGAGUGCUGGAGGGGAUAGCGGAAUUCCUAGUGGAGUGGUAAAAUGCGCAGAUAUAAGGAAGAACACCGGUGGGGAAGGAGCAAUUUUGUGCAUUAAAUGACGCGGAGGCGCAAAACGGUGGGGAGAAAACAGGAAUAGAUAACCUGUUAGUACACGUUGUAAACGAUGAAUACUAGGUGUAGGGGGUAUCGACUCCCUCUGUGCCGCAGUUAACACAAUAAGUAUUCCGCCUGGGGAGUACGGCCGCAAGGUUGAAACUCAAAUGAAUUGACGGGG